ensembl:lncRNA
AUGUGGGUUGCUAAUACAGGUUAUAUUACUACUGAAGAGAAUAAAACAAAAACAAAGGAAGCUUCCCAUCAACACCAUUUUAUUCAUACGCAGAUUAAAAAUAUACAAUUUUCAAAUUUAAGCUUCAGCAAAUGUUCUUUAGCAUCAACAACAAGCUGGCUAGCAUAUCAACUGUCUUUAGCAUCAACAACAAGCUGGCUAGCAUAUCAACUGUCUUUAGCAUCAACAACAAGUUGGCCAGCAUAUCAACUGUCUUUAGCAUCAACAACAAGCUGGCUAGCAUAUCAACUGUCUUUAGCAUCAACAACAAGCUGGCUAGCAUAUCAACUGUCUUUAGCAUCAACAACAAGUUGGCUAGCAUAUCAACUGUCUUUAGCAUCAACAACAAGUUGGCUAGCUUAUCAACUGUCUUUAGCAUCAACAACAAGUUGGCCAGCAUAUCAACUGUCUUUAGCAUCAACAACAAGUUGGCUAGCAUAUCAACUGUCUUUAGCAUCAACAACAAGCUGGCUAGCAUAUCAACUGUCUUUAGCAUCAACAACAAGUUGGCUAGCAUAUCAACUGUCUUUAGCAUCAACAACAAGCUGGCUAGCAUAUCAACUGUCUUUAGCAUCAACAACAAGUUGGCUAGCAUAUCAACUGUCUUUAGCAUCAACAACAAGUUGGCUAGCAUAUCAACUGUCUUUAGCAUCAACAACAAGCUGGCUAGCAUAUCAACUGUCUUUAGCAUCAACAACAAGCUGGCUAGCAUAUCAACUGUCUUUAGCAUCAACAACAAGUUGGCUAGCAUAUCAACUGUCUUUAGCAUCAACAACAAGCUGGCUAGCAUAUCAACUGUCUUUGGCAUCAACAACAAGCUGGCUAGCAUAUCAACUGUCUUUAGCAUCAACAACAAGUUGGCUAGCAUAUCAACUGUCUUUAGCAUCAACAACAAGUUGGCUAGCAUAUCAACUGUCUUUAGCAUCAACAACAAGCUGGCUAGCAUAUCAACUGUCUUUAGCAUCAACAACAAGUUGGCUAGCAUAUCAACUGUCUUUAGCAUCAACAACAAGCUGGCUAGCAUAUCAACUGUCUUUAGCAUCAACAACAAGUUGGCUAGCAUAUAAAAUGUCUUUAGCAUCAGCAAAUUAA